CCUCACCCGGCUUUGUGCCGCCGCCACCGUGCCCCACCGUCGCUUCCGCCUCUGUGCCCUGCUAACUGUCGUCACGUUCUUAUAAGGUGAGUUCGCUCGCUGCCUUUUAUGUUUAAAGUCAUGUCUCCUUUAUCAUUGGAUAUAUGCCUGCAAACUGUUUGAUGAUUUGGUUGAAAGAAUAAUCUAUUACUUCAAUAAAUGGCUACAAAUAGUGUAUCCGGUUUUUUUAGGAGAAAUCCCCAUUAGUUAGUAUAUUAAGAAUUAAAGAAAACUAAUUAAUGUAGAAACAAUAUAUAACAAAAAUUGCUUUGAUUUCGAUCUUAUUAGUUUCUUUAGUUUGAUUCAAAUUCCAUAAAAUUAUUUAUAUACAUAACUGAUAUUAUGACUAAAUGAGUCAUGUGAUAUACCAUUAAGUUUACUUAUUCUUCCCAGGUUGAAAUCUAAUAGUAGUUGUUCCAUAAAAUAAUUAGACCAAAGAAAAGAAUUAAUGAUUGGUUAGCCAUAAAGAAUGCACGAUUUGUUAUAUGCUAUCUGUUUUGAUGUUGAAAAGCAUAAGGCAAUACAUUUUUUUGUGGGUUAUUAUUGACAUCUUGUCAACUGGAAAAUAAAAGAUUUAAAAUGCAGUUGUUGCUCUCUCAUAAUUUGUGCCUGUUAGUGUUGAUAGUGUUUCAUAACAGUUGUUACGCUUUCAUAAUUUUUGCUUCCAUUAGUGUUGUAGAUACUUUGACACAAUUUCACAUAUUGCUAGUAGUCAUUCUAGAUUAUUAGUGCUAAUUAAUCAAAAUAAUAGUCUUCACCCGUGAAACCAAUAUGUCAAUCCUUCCCAUGAGUUAUCAUUCCCUUUUUUUAAGUUGUUGGAUUAUCCUCCAUGAGGUAUCAUUUUUUUUAUAUAUAUUAAGUCUACCUGCAGCUAGUCAGUUGAUAGUAGACUGCUUUUGAGUGGAAGAAAAGACUCAACUCUUAAGGUAAUUGUCCCUUUCGAUAAUUGAAUGUGCCUGUAAUAAAUUUUAUUUUGUAAGAGAAUGUGGUCGUGCUGAGUUGCAAGAUAAUGUAUGUUCAGUCUAUUGGUAUAGAAUGAUUGCAUAAAGGUAUGUAUACUAGAAGAUAUGGCGUGUGUUUUCAUGUCUACUUCGAUUUUAUUUGUGUAAAAUAGUUCCUUAUUAAGGGAUUGAUGCGCCAAUGCUUGGGUUCUUUUGCAUUUGAUCAUUCUAUUUUUCUUGAUUCAGCUGCAGUUUGAUGCGUAUAUACAUGGCAACCUUUUCUUAGUCAGUUAUGAAUUUCUCAGGUUCUUCCUUCAUUUUUCUUGUUGUACAGACAUGCAAAAAUAUGUUAUGUUUUGUUUAACCUUGAUAUAACUUUGCAUUUGGUUCUAUACUACCUAUUUCAGAUGGUUGAUAAUUAUUUAUUUAUUAAAUAUAGGUUGAUAAUUAUUCUCCUCUAAACUUGUAUUCUUAUGAUUUAAAGUUUUUAGUGAUUCAAUUGUGGUUAUUCUCACCACUCGCAUACAAGUUUGGCCAACAAUGGUGAGGAUAUGUUAUAAAAAAUAUAAGUUAUUUUGCAGGAUAUAAUAAAGAAUGUUAUAUAUAUUUGUUAACACGUAAUAUGUUUCAAGUGGAUCACAAUGACUAUUUUAAAGAGUCUUUCUAGUUAAGUAUGAACCAAAUAGCCACUUGCUAAUAUAAUCACAAAACUGGAAAAAUGGAAAAUUGAACUAAAUAGUUGGAAUAUCAAAACAAUGAGUUAGGAGAACUUUUGAAUUUAAUGAGAUUAAAUAUGCUAUUCUUAUUUGCAUGAACUCUUCAUUGCUCUAUGCUAACUUAAAUUUUUUUUGUUUCUUAGGGCCACUCGGAGCUUAUUUCUGUUUGAAGGAGAAAAAAAGCAACAAGUGUAUAUUUUGAAUUAAUGAUAGGAUUCAAUUUGUUUAAUUUGUAAUAGAUAUGUUGCAAUUCAUUGGGGUGAACUUAAAUUGAAACGAAUGUAUUGGAAUUUUUUGAAUUGAUUGUGUUGUAAUGACUAAUGAAUAUGAUUGUGGCAUUGUAAACUUUAAUAAAUAUU
rnacentral:lncRNA from 1 species